ensembl:lincRNA
GCUGGUACCUAUCUUGGAGGUUGGCAGUAAGGAUUAAUUGAAGUAAAUUAUAUACAGAGGCUAUUACAGUGCCUGACAUUGCAGAAAAUACUAGUAAGUGAUGAAUCGAUGGAGCGAGAUGAGAGGAAGAAGAUGGAGAAGAGAAGAAGAAAGAGAGGACCACUUGUAAGCAGCCCCUGGAAGCAAAGCUUGCAGCUUUGAAACAGCCAUGUUAUCCACAGUGGUGAAGCAAUGUAGCUUCCUGGUCUCCAAAUCCAUGCAAAGCUAUAGAGCAAGCAGGUAUCAGGAUGCUGCUUACCUCAUGGGGUGGCUGAGAGCUUCAGACCAUGUGACAGUUCUGAGAGCACAGUCAACUGUGGCACCUUCUGAGUGCACUCACAGAGCCACGCCCACAGAAUUCAUGCUUGCA